CACGUAGGGCGCGAGCGUUGUCCGGAAUUAUUGGGCCUAAAGCAUCCGUAGCCGGUUCUACAAGUCUUCCGUUAAAUCCACCUGCUCAACAGAUGGGCUGCGGAAGAUACUAUGGAGCUAGGAGGCGGGAGAGGCAAGCGGUACUCGAUGGGUAGGGGUAAAAUCCGUUGAUCCAUUGAAGACCACCAGUGGCGAAGGCGGCUUGCCAGAACGCGCUCGACGGUGAGGGAUGAAAGCUGGGGGAGCAAACCGG
rnacentral:rRNA from 1 species